rnacentral:piRNA from 1 species
UAAAGGAUCUCCAAAGAAGAAUAACCUGU